rnacentral:rRNA from 1 species
GCUAAUACCGGAUAAGUCUUUACGGAGAAAGCUUUAUGCACCAUUGGAUGAGCCUGCACUUGAUUAGUUUGUUGGUGGGGUAAUGGCCUACCAAGACUGUGAUCAAUAGCUGAUUUGAGAGGAUGAUCAGCCACAUUGGGACUGAGACACGGCCCAAACUCCUACGGGAGGCAGCAGUGGGGAAUCUUGCACAAUGGAGGAAACUCUGAUGCAGCGAUGCCGCGUGAGUGAAGAAGGCCCUUGGGUUGUAAAGCUCUUUCGUCGG